GGUCCGCUGGCUCAAUGGCAGAGCGUCUGACUACGAGCAUCCCAAGAUCAUCACAUCUUGUGGCUCGGGCAAUCAGGAGGUUCCAGGUUCGACCCCUGGGUGGAUCG